GACAGAGGAUGCAAGCGUUAUCCGGAAUGAUUGGGCGUAAAGCGUCUGUAGGUGGCUUUUUAAGUCCGCCGUCAAAUCCCAGGGCUCAACCCUGGACAGGCGGUGGAAACUACCAAGCUGGAGUACGGUAGGGGCAGAGGGAAUUUCCGGUGGAGCGGUGAAAUGCGUAGAGAUCGGGGGGAACACCCGUGGCGAAGGCGGCCAGCUGGGCCGUCCCUGACACUGAGGCGCGAAGGCGUGGGGAGCGAACGGG
rnacentral:rRNA from 1 species